UCGAGGGGUAUUGGUUUUCGGACCAGAGACCGGCGCACGGGUGCGUAACGCGUAUGCAAUCUACCUUUUACAGAGGGAUAGCCCAGAGAAAUUUGGAUUAAUACCUCAUAGUAUUACGACUCGGCAUCGAGAUGUAAUUAAAGUCACAACGGUAAAAGAUGAGCAUGCGUCCCAUUAGCUAGAUGGUAAGGUAACGGCUUACCAUGGCAACGAUGGGUAGGGGUCCUGAGAGGGAGAUCCCCCACACUGGUACUGAGACACGGACCAGACUCCUACGGGAGGCAGCAGUGAGGAAUAUUGGUCAAUGGGCGCAAGCCUGAACCAGCCAUGCCGCGUGCAGGAUGAAGCAUCUAUGGUGUGUAAACUGCUUUUGUACGAGAAGAAACACUCCUACGUGUAGGAGCUUGACGGUAUCGUAAGAAUAAGGACCGGCUAACUCCGUGCCAGCAGCCGCGGUAAUACGGAGGGUCCAAGCGUUAUCCGGAAUCAUUGGGUUUAAAGGGUCCGUAGGCGGUUUAGUAAGUCAGCGGUGAAAGCCCAUCGCUCAACGGUGGAACGGCCAUUGAUACUGCUAGACUUGAAUUAUUAGGAAGUAACUAGAAUAUGUAGUGUAGCGGUGAAAUGCUUAGAGAUUACAUGGAAUACCAAUUGCGAAGGCAGGUUACUACUAAUGGAUUGACGCUGAUGGACGAAAGCGU
rnacentral:rRNA from 1 species